rnacentral:rRNA from 1 species
UUCGCCCUUAGAGUUUGAUCCUGGCUCAGGACGAACGCUGGCGGCGCGCCUAACACAUGCAAGUCGAACGAGCGAGAGAGAGCUUGCUUUCUCAAGCGAGUGGCGAACGGGUGAGUAACGCGUGAGGAACCUGCCUCAAAGAGGGGGACAACAGUUGGAGACGACUGCUAAUACCGCAUAAGCCCACAGCUCGGCAUCGAGCAGAGGGAAAAGGAGCAAUCCGCUUUGAGAUGGCCUCGCGUCCGAUUAGCUGGUUGGUGAGGUAAUGGCCCACCAAGGCGACGAUCGGUAGCCAGACUGAGAGGUUGAACGGCCACAUUGGGACUGAGACACGGCCCAGACUCCUACGGGAGGCAGCAGUGGGGAAUAUUGCACAAUGGGGGAAACCCUGAUGCAGCGACGCCGCGUGGAGGAAGAAGGUCUUCGGAUUGUAAACUCCUGUUGUUGAGGAAGAUAAUGACGGUACUCAACAAGGAAGUGACGGCUAACUACGUGCCAGCAGCCGCGGUAAAACGUAGGUCACAAGCGUUGUCCGGAAUUACUGGGUGUAAAGGGAGCGCAGGCGGGAAGACAAGUUGGAAGUGAAAUCUAUGGGCUCAACCCAUAAACUGCUUUCAAAACUGUUUUUCUUGAGUAGUGCAGAGGUAGGCGGAAUUCCCGGUGUAGCGGUGGAAUGCGUAGAUAUCGGGAGGAACACCAGUGGCGAAGGCGGCCUACUGGGCACCAACUGACGCUGAGGCUCGAAAGUGUGGGUAGCAAACAGGAUUAGAUACCCUGGUAGUCCACACCGUAAACGAUGAUUACUAGGUGUUGGAGGAUUGACCCCUUCAGUGCCGCAGUUAACACAAUAAGUAAUCCACCUGGGGAGUACGACCGCAAGGUUGAAACUCAAAGGAAUUGACGGGGGCCCGCACAAGCAGUGGAGUAUGUGGUUUAAUUCGACGCAACGCGAAGAACCUUACCAAGUCUUGACAUCCCUUGACGAUGCUGGAAACAGUAUUUCUCUUCGGAGCAAGGAGACAGGUGGUGCAUGGUUGUCGUCAGCUCGUGUCGUGAGAUGUUGGGUUAAGUCCCGCAACGAGCGCAACCCUUACUGUCAGUUACUACGCAGGAGGACUCUGGCAGGACUGCCGUUGACAAAACGGAGGAAGGUGGGGAUGGCGUCAAAUCAUCAUGCCCUUUAUGACUUGGGCUACACACGUACUACAAUGGCGUUAAACAAAGAGAAGCAAGACCGCGAGGUGGAGCAAAACUCAGAAACAACGUCCCAGUUCGGACUGCAGGCUGCAACUCGCCUGCACGAAGUCGGAAUUGCUAGUAAUCGUGGAUCAGCAUGCCACGGUGAAUACGUUCCCGGGCCUUGACACACCGCCCGUC